UCUCCUAAAAUCAGCUACCAAUCCUUUCACGUCUGAAGGACCUCACUAGGACCACGUCUUUCAUUAGAAGUGGCUACCCAGGAGUGCAGCAACAAGCUGGUUGUGCAAACCCCAGUGGCUGAGGAAAGGAUGGAAAUAUUUUCCACUAAGAAGUGUGAUCCUGCCUGGUAAGACUCCCUUCAUCCAAAUCCUUUCUGGAUUGAAAGGCUGUCAGAGGCUCACGGUUGGGAAUAGCUGAUUUAGGCUUGUUUGGGGGGGACCAUGUCUGC
rnacentral:lncRNA from 1 species